AGUGACACGGGGUAUUUGGAAGCCUGCUUCUAUGAAUGGAACUGAUUGGCCAAGUCCUGCUGCAAAUCUCUCCAAUGUUGAGGAGCAGAUCAAGAAAAUUUUAGCAGCCACUGGUGUAGAUGUUCCAAGCCUUGUUGCAGGUGGCAGCUCUCCAGCAAUUCUUCCACUGCCAUUGGCCGCAUUUGUCAGCCUUACUAUAACAUAUAAACUUGAUAAGGCCUCCCAGCGUUUUCUCAAUCUGGCGGGCCCGGCUCUGGAGUCACUUGCAGCUGGCUGCCCUUGGCCCUGCAUGCCAAUUGUGGCUUCUUUGUGGACGCAAAAGGCAAAAAGGUGGAGUGACUUCCUCGUUUUCUCUGCAUCUCGAACUGUCUUUCUUAAUAACCACCAUGCAGUCAUUCAGCUUCUCAAAAGUUGUUUCA
rnacentral:misc_RNA from 1 species